rnacentral:rRNA from 1 species
GGCAGUCAGAGGCGAUGAAGGACGUGCUAAUCUGCGAUAAGCGUCGGUAAGGUGAUAUGAACCGUUAUAACCGGCGAUUUCCGAAUGGGGAAACCCAGUGUGAUUCGUCACACUAUCAUUAACUGAAUCCAUAGGUUAAUGAGGCGAACCGGGGGAACUGAAACAUCUAAGUACCCCGAGGAAAAGAAAUCAACCGAGAUUCCCCCAGUAGCGGCGAGCGAACGGGGAGCAGCCCAGAGCCUGAAUCAGUGUGUGUGUUAGUGGAAGCGUCUGGAAAGGCGCGCGAUACAGGGUGACAGCCCCGUACACAAAAAUGCACAUGCUGUGAGCUCGAUGAGUAGGGCGGGACACGUGGUAUCCUGUCUGAAUAUGGGGGGACCAUCCUCCAAGGCUAAAUACUCCUGACUGACCGAUAGUGAACCAGUACCGUGAGGGAAAGGCGAAAAGAACCCCGGCGAGGGGAGUGAAAAAGAACCUGAAACCGUGUACGUACAAGCAGUGGGAGCCUCUUUAUGGGGUGACUGCGUACCUUUUGUAUAAUGGGUCAGCGACUUAUAUUCUGUAGCAAGGUUAACCGAAUAGGGGAGCCGAAGGGAAACCGAGUCUUAACUGGGCGUUAAGUUGCAGGGUAUAGACCCGAAACCCGGUGAUCUAGCCAUGGGCAGGUUGAAGGUUGGGUAACACUAACUGGAGGACCGAACCGACUAAUGUUGAAAAAUUAGCGGAUGACUUGUGGCUGGGGGUGAAAGGCCAAUCAAACCGGGAGAUAGCUGGUUCUCCCCGAAAGCUAUUUAGGUAGCGCCUCGUGAACUCAUCUCCGGGGGUAGAGCACUGUUUCGGCAAGGGGGUCAUCCCGACUUACCAACCCGAUGCAAACUGCGAAUACCGGAGAAUGUUAUCACGGGAGACACACGGCGGGUGCUAACGUCCGUCGUGAAGAGGGAAACAACCCAGACCGCCAGCUAAGGUCCCAAAGUCAUGGUUAAGUGGGAAACGAUGUGGGAAGGCCCAGACAGCCAGGAUGUUGGCUUAGAAGCAGCCAUCAUUUAAAGAAAGCGUAAUAGCUCACUGGUCGAGUCGGCCUGCGCGGAAGAUGUAACGGGGCUAAACCAUGCACCGAAGCUGCGGCAGCGACGCUGAUGCGUUGUUGGGUAGGGGAGCGUUCUGUAAGCCUGUGAAGGUGUGCUGUGAGGCAUGCUGGAGGUAUCAGAAGUGCGAAUGCUGACAUAAGUAACGAUAAAGCGGGUGAAAAGCCCGCUCGCCGGAAGACCAAGGGUUCCUGUCCAACGUUAAUCGGGGCAGGGUGAGUCGACCCCUAAGGCGAGGCCGAAAGGCGUAGUCGAUGGGAAACAGGUUAAUAUUCCUGUACUUGGUGUUACUGCGAAGGGGGGACGGAGAAGGCUAUGUUGGCCGGGCGACGGUUGUCCCGGUUUAAGCGUGUAGGCUGGUUUUCCAGGCAAAUCCGGAAAAUCAAGGCUGAGGCGUGAUGACGAGGCACUACGGUGCUGAAGCAACAAAUGCCCUGCUUCCAGGAAAAGCCUCUAAGCAUCAGGUAACAUCAAAUCGUACCCCAAACCGACACAGGUGGUCAGGUAGAGAAUACCAAGGCGCUUGAGAGAACUCGGGUGAAGGAACUAGGCAAAAUGGUGCCGUAACUUCGGGAGAAGGCACGCUGAUAUGUAGGUGAAGUCCCUCGCGGAUGGAGCUGAAAUCAGUCGAAGAUACCAGCUGGCUGCAACUGUUUAUUAAAAACACAGCACUGUGCAAACACGAAAGUGGACGUAUACGGUGUGACGCCUGCCCGGUGCCGGAAGGUUAAUUGAUGGGGUCAGCGCAAGCGAAGCUCUUGAUCGAAGCCCCGGUAAACGGCGGCCGUAACUAUAACGGUCCUAAGGUAGCGAAAUUCCUUGUCGGGUAAGUUCCGACCUGCACGAAUGGCGUAAUGAUGGCCAGGCUGUCUCCACCCGAGACUCAGUGAAAUUGAACUCGCUGUGAAGAUGCAGUGUACCCGCGGCAAGACGGAAAGACCCCGUGAACCUUUACUAUAGCUUGACACUGAACAUUGAGCCUUGAUGUGUAGGAUAGGUGGGAGGCUUAGAAGUGUGGACGCCAGUCUGCAUGGAGCCGACCUUGAAAUACCACCCUUUAAUGUUUGAUGUUCUAACGUUGACCCGUAAUCCGGGUUGCGGACAGUGUCUGGUGGGUAGUUUGACUGGGGCGGUCUCCUCCUAAAGAGUAACGGAGGAGCACGAAGGUUGGCUAAUCCUGGUCGGACAUCAGGAGGUUAGUGCAAUGGCAUAAGCCAGCUUGACUGCGAGCGUGACGGCGCGAGCAGGUGCGAAAGCAGGUCAUAGUGAUCCGGUGGUUCUGAAUGGAAGGGCCAUCGCUCAACGGAUAAAAGGUACUCCGGGGAUAACAGGCUGAUACCGCCCAAGAGUUCAUAUCGACGGCGGUGUUUGGCACCUCGAUGUCGGCUCAUCACAUCCUGGGGCUGAAGUAGGUCCCAAGGGUAUGGCUGUUCGCCAUUUAAAGUGGUACGCGAGCUGGGUUUAGAACGUCGUGAGACAGUUCGGUCCCUAUCUGCCGUGGGCGCUGGAGAACUGAGGGGGGCUGCUCCUAGUACGAGAGGACCGGAGUGGACGCAUCACUGGUGUUCGGGUUGUCAUGCCAAUGGCACUGCCCGGUAGCUAAAUGCGGAAGAGAUAAGUGCUGAAAGCAUCUAAGCACGAAACUUGCCCCGAGAUGAGUUCUCCCUGACUCCUUGAGAGUCCUGAAGGAACGUUGAAGACGACGACGUUGAUAGGCCGGGUGUGUAAGCGCAGCGAUGCGUUGAGCUAACCGGUACUAAUGAACCGUGAGGCUUAACCU